GCUGUUCGCCAUUUAAAGUGGUACGUGAGCUGGGUUUAAAACGUCGUGAGACAGUUUGGUCCCUAUCUGCCGUGGGCGUUGGAAAUUUGAAGGGGGCUGCUCCUAGUACGAGAGGACCGGAGUGGACGAACCUCUGGUGUACCGGUUGUCACGCCAGUGGCAUUGCCGGGUAGCUAAGUUCGGAAGAGAUAACCGCUGAAAGCAUCUAAGCGGGAAACUUGCCUUAAGAUGAGAUUUCCCAGAGCCUUGAGCUCUUUGAAGGGUCGUUCGAGACCAGGACGUUGAUAGGUCAGGUGUGGAAGUGCAGU
rnacentral:rRNA from 1 species